GCCCGGCUAAUCUUUUGUAUUUUUAGUAGACACGGGGUUUCACCAUGUUGACCAAGAUGGCCUUGAUCUCCUGACCUCGUGAUCCACCCGCCUCGGCCUCCCAAAGUGCUGGGAUGACAGGCGUGAGCCCCCGCGCCCGGCCUGCUGACCCCCGUUUCUUUGAGGCACGUGUUACGUUCCUGCGUGGGGUGCCAGCAACAGUUUUAUUUCAGCCGUGGUGACCUGUGCAGCUCCCAGUGACAACUCAAGUGGCGACGCCCUCCGACUGGCCAACGUGGGCCGAUCUCCCCUCACACUGCCAACCUGGGGACAUCCUGGGCGCAGCCCCGUCCUCCACCCACUCCAUGCCAGCCAAAGAUGUCCCCAGAGGCCGCCUGGUGUCCCCUGGGGUGGGGCUCGCUUCUGUCUGCAGGGACAGCGGCAUGAAGCCCCCAGGCCUGCCCUGCACCCAGCACGGCUCCUGCCCUCAGCCUCUGCCCUUCCGGGGGAUCCGAGGAGCACCGAGGCGUCGGCCUCCGCCCUUCCCAGGGGAUCCGAGGAGCACCGAGGCGUCGGCCUCCGCCCUUCCCGGGGGAUCUGAGGAGCACCGAGGUGUCGGCCUCCCCCCUUCCCGGGGGAUCCGAGGAGCACUGAGGUGUCGGCCUCCCCCCUUCCCGGGGAAUCCGAGGAACACCGAGGCGGCGGCCUCUGCCCUUCCUGGGGGGAUCUGAGGCUUAUUUUGUCAUGAGAACAGUUUCAGACACCGUGUGCAUAUUUCCGACGUCUGCUGUAACGAAGGACCACA
rnacentral:lncRNA from 1 species